rnacentral:rRNA from 1 species
AGAAGCACCGGCUAACUCCGUGCCAGCAGCCGCGGUAAUACGGAGGGUGCAAGCGUUAAUCGGAAUUACUGGGCGUAAAGCGCACGCAGGCGGUUUGUUAAGUCAGAUGUGAAAUCCCCGGGCUCAACCUGGGAACUGCAUCUGAUACUGGCAAGCUUGAGUCUCGUAGAGGGGGGUAGAAUUCCAGGUGUAGCGGUGAAAUGCGUAGAGAUCUGGAGGAAUACCGGUGGCGAAGGCGGCCCCCUGGACGAAGACUGACGCUCAGGUGCGAAAGCGUGGGGAGCAAACAGGAUUAGAUAC